CACGUAGGGUGCGAGCGUUGUCCGGAAUUAUUGGGCGUAAAGAGCUCGUAGGCGGUGUGUCGCGUCGGCCGUGAAAACUUGCAGCUUAACUGUGGGCGUGCGGUCGAUACGGGCAUCACUGGAGUUCGGCAGGGGAGACUGGAAUUCCUGGUGUAGCGGUGAAAUGCGCAGAUAUCAGGAAGAACACCCGUGGCUAAGGCGGCUCUCUAGUACGGUACUGACGCUGAGACGCGAGAGCGUGGGGAGCGAACAGG
rnacentral:rRNA from 1 species